rnacentral:rRNA from 1 species
UACGUAGGGGGCUAGCGUUGUCCGGAAUCAUUGGGCGUAAAGCGCGUGUAGGCGGUCCGGUAAGUCAGCUGUGAAAGUCGGGGGCUCAACCCUCGGAUGCCGGUGGAUACUGUCGGGCUUGAGUACGGAAGAGGCGAGUGGAAUUCCUGGUGUAGCGGUGAAAUGCGCAGAUAUCAGGAGGAACACCAAUUGCGAAGGCAGCUCGCUGGGACGUUACUGACGCUGAGACGCGAAAGCGUGGGGAGCAAACAGG